rnacentral:rRNA from 1 species
GACGAACGCUGGCGGCGUGCCUAACACAUGCGAGUCGAACGGAGAAGCGCGAGCUUGCUGGAGUGGAUGAGUGGCGAAGGGGUGAGUAACACGUGAGGAACCUGCCCCUGACAGAGGAAUAAGCGCUGGAAACGGCGGAUAAUAUAGGAUAUGAGAAGGGGAAGCAUGGGCAUUAUAUGGAAAGUAUUGCGGUUGGGGAUGGGCUCGCGGCAUACCAGCUGGAUGGGGAAGUAAUGGAGGACAAGGGCGACGACGGAUAGGCGGCCUGAGAGGGCGACCGGCCCCCCUACGCCUACGACACGGCCCAGUCUCCUACGGGCGGCAACGGUGGGGAAUCUUGCACAGUGGGCCAGCGCCUGAUACGGCGACCCCGCGUGCGUGAUGACGGCCUUCGGGUUGUAAACCUCUUUCAGCAGGGAAGAAGCCAUCGUGACGGUACCUGCAGAAGAAGCACCGGCUAACUACGUG